AUACAGAUCACCUGGGGAUCUUGUUAAAAUGCAGAUCCUGAUUCAAGAUGUCUUGGAUGGGGUCUGAGAGUCUGCAUUUCUAACAAGGUUCUACAUAAUGACAAU
rnacentral:pre_miRNA from 1 species